UUAAUCCAAAUAGGAACAAAAUUCGGAUGUUAAAAAUACUCUAUUUGACCAAACAGUUCCCGUGAGAAUCUUCUGCCUCUUCCAUGCCUGUAUCUUGCUGAGCCUCAUACAUGGAGUGCAACUCUACAUCAGACUGCCAUGACGGUGGUUUCCAAUAUCACUGUUAAUGGUUUUGUUUUUUUUAAUGACAUGUCAGACACUUUUCAGUAAAUCUCAAUGGUUUCCAGUGCUCCUAUGUUAUGGCAGUGGUGACUUGUCAAGGUGGGUGGUGGUGGUGAUGACACUUAUUCUAACCACUAAUUCCUGUUACAAAUAUCUCUUCUGUUUUAUAGGGGGAAUACCUGAGCACGCCAUACCCAGGACAAUAACCCCGUAACAGAAAGUGCUCCGGAUGUUUUAGUGACCACAGAUAAUAAGGACUUCAGUUUUAACCAGAUGGUUAGUAAGAAGGCACCUCCCAGCACUAUACUGAGGAAUGUUUCUACAGCUACUCAGGGCCCUGGCUGAGAGAGAUGACAGGCCUGAUUGCAAUCAGGAAGCUUAUAAAGAAUCUUCCUGUUAUACAGGCCAGAGGAGGAGAAGCUGGCAGCAUUUUCAGAGAGCAUGAUGUCCCCAUGGCACUAGAAACUGUUAACCUCAAGAACCCCCACUGUCAGGAGAGAAGCAUUACCAAGUAUGGAGGUAGAAGUUUGACACAUGAGAUAUCCCCUCCUGCUCAACAGAAGAAGACCUACAGACACCAGACAAACUAUUGUGGGACAUCAGUGCAUAAAAGACUUUCAUGAUUUCUCCCACCACCACCACCACACAUGAAGAGGAGUUGUGCAGAAAUCCUUGUUACAUCAGACUGACUCCGGGGGGAAGGGAUAAAAAUCCCUGUAAAGAAAAUGUAUCGCUAUGCAGGUUGGAAUUUGGAGAGGGCAAUAUUUCUGAGCAUAAGCAAAGGAUCCCCAAGCUGUUUAGCUUGGGUUAGCCCCAAAGGACAUAUAGAGCUUGUGCAUUAAAGCAGUUUCUGUUACUUUUUGAAACCUCGGACAGUCCUAGGUUUACCUGCUAUAUCCUUGUAAACAACUCUCAUUUCUUUUUCCUAGUUAAUAUAUCAUUAGUAUGUUUCUUACAGGACUGGCUAUAAGCGUUGUCUUUGGUAAGAGAUCUAAGGUACAAUUGACCUGGGGUAACUGACUGGUCCUUUGGGACUGGGAGUAAUGUGAAUAUUGUUGUGGAUUUUUGGUGUAAAGGGCCACCUAUCACAAAGACAGGCUCACCUAGGGGGCAUGAUAGAUGUCUGGAGUGCCCAAAGGGAUGGUCUGUGACUCCUUGUUAAAGCUGUUAUGGUGCUUUAGGAGUUCACACUUGUUUCUUGGUUGGUGAAAUGCAUUAGAGAACAUACCAAUAGUCUGUGGUUUGUGCCCUGUUCCUUUGACAGUGUGCCCUGAGGUUGGCACUCAUGGUCAUGAUGUCUACACUGCUUGACAUCCACAAACCUCAGUGUGUUCAGAACUAAAUGCAUUUCUUCAAUCUAACUUUCCCUUGGUAACCUUGCCAAAAUAAAACUUUUCUUUAGAUAACAAAAAAGAACCCCCCUCCCAUUAUCCUCUCAAGCCAGAGAUGUAGGAUGCCAGAGCGCUUUUCAUACGUUUACUCUGUUUCAGCCAGAUAUAAGUGAAAAUGGACAAGUUGACAAGUCUCUGACAGAUGCUUUAGGCACUGCAUUCAACAGGAACCCCUGCUUCACGUUCUGUGGCCCUGUCCAAAAUUACCUCCAGAUGGGUCGCUUGGUUUGUGUUACACGGUAAGAAAUCACUGGCGUUUUGGUGCCCACCAUUCCGGAAUCUUGUAUAUUAGGGUAUUUAAACUCUAAGGAAUGUGAAGGCGAGAACUUGGGGUUAACAGCUUCUGCUACUGGUGCUCAUUUGUAAGCAAUGGAAAAAUUCUGACUCUUCCUCUAUAUUGGAAUGUGUCCAAGAGGCCUGGAACCUUGUGAUUCUGUUCAGAUCAGCACAGUUAUAAUCUGAGAAGGCGUAUGUAUUUGUGCACAUGUGGCAUGCUUGUGCCAAAUUAUUUUAACAAAAACAAAAUAAGCCUGUAAACUAGAAUGUUUCCUCAAGAGAAAAGUUGAUUAACUUAUUCCUUUCCUUUAUUUUCUCUUUCUUUUGUUUCAUUUAUUUCUGGUUUCAUUCAUUAUCUGCUUAAGUGUUAUGUUACUACUUUAUAUUACUGUAGGGAAAAUAACACUCUUACUGUAUUUUGUCAGCUUCAUUCAUGAAGCUUUCUAUUAUUUUACAGCAAUAACAAUAAAAUCAACAAUAGAAUCUCC